UUAUGGCAAUCGUGCUGAAGGUAUGAAAGAAUUUGGGAAUGAUUGGAGCUUUUUGCAAUAUAAAGACUUUACAUCCAUUAACAUGGUGAUCCAGUAGAGAAGAAGAGAGAUUUCCGUAGGAAAGAAACUCAGUAUGUCAAUAAAAGAAGAGUUUGCAGCAGCAAUGUUGUCACUACACAACUUGGAAUCUGGACUGCCAUCGUACAAUCUCUGAUGUCUUCUGACAACCAAAUAGGUGACCCUUAUUCCUGUGGCGUUUGUUAGUAGAUCCAACUACUUUAGCGAUGGAUACUGGUUGUCACAUUUUUGCUCUUGCUAGCAUGAAUUAUCUUACCUCCAAAAUCUUUAACAUGAGAUUCUACACUAUGGAAGAAAUUUUGUUUUAUUUCUCCUUCAUGGCCUCUCCUAGUAUACCUAUUCUCAAACGCAUUAUGACUUCUAGUCUAUGGAUGAGAAAUAUUUCUUAUGAACUGAAUUUCUUGUGAACUGAAUUCAUGUUGCUCUUCAGAGAAUGGAGUGGAUGGUGCAGAUGUAAUUGAAUUGGUCAAGUUAGAUUGAAAAAAUCAACUUUACAAAUGAACCUAGGUAAAACAAAUUAUUUUAAUCUUACAGCAUGAAGUCAAAGGUGAUCAAAUUUUUGCUAAAAAUUUAGAAUUAUAUAUUUUUGAAGGAAAAAAUGUUCAGUCACAACAUGUACUAAAGCAAGUCAAAUACAGUUGAUCCCUGAACAGCACAGGUUUGAACUACAUUGGUCUACUUAAAUGUGGAUUUUCUUCUGCCUCUGCCACCCCUGAGACAACAAGACCAUCCCCUCCUCUUCUCUCUCUUCUUCUGCCUACUCAAUUUGAAGACAAUGAGGAUGAAGUCCUGUAUCAUGAUCUGCUUCCACGUAAUGAAUAGUAAACGUAUUUUCUCCCUUAUGAC
rnacentral:lncRNA from 1 species